rnacentral:rRNA from 1 species
UACAGAGACUGCAAGCGUUAUUCGGAUUCACUGGGCGUAAAGGGUGCGUAGGCGGCGCGGUAAGUCGGGUGUGAAAUCUCGGAGCUUAACUCCGAAACUGCAUUCGAUACUGCCGUGCUUGAGGACUGGGAGAGGAGACUGGAAUUUACGGUGUAGCGGUGAAAUGCGUAGAGAUCGGAAGGAACACCAGUGGCGAAGGCGGCUACCUGGACAGAUACUGACGCUGAGGCGCGAGAGCGUGGGGAGCAAACAGG